rnacentral:rRNA from 1 species
GACGAACGCUGGCGGCGUGCCUAAUACAUGCAAGUCGAACGCAGUGGGGACGGUUGAGUAACACGUGGGUAACCUCCCGUCAGAGGGGAUAACACUUGGAAACAGGUGCUAAACCGAUACGGGUGGAUGGACCCGCGGUGCAUUAGCUAGUUGGUGCGGUAACGGCCCACCAAGGCCACGAUCCAUAGCCGGCCUGAGAGGGUGAGCGGCCACACUGUGACUGAGACACGGCCCAGACUCCUACGGGAGGCAGCAGUGGGGAAUCUUCGGCAAUGGACGAAAGUCUGACCGAGCAACGCCGUGUGAGUGAAGAAGGUUUUCGGAUCUUAAAACUCUGUCGUUAGAGAAGCGGUAUCUAACCAGAAAGCCACGGCUAACUACGUGCCAGCAGCCGCGGUAAUUG